GGGCGAGGAUAAACGCGAGCAAAUAGCGGAGACACACGUAAAAGGUGUCUUCCAACCUUAGUUUCCUUUACCUGGCUGUUGUAUCCAGCAGCCACGUCUCAGGAGGAUCAUUUAACCGAAAUAAUUGCCAAACAUUGUUUACCUUGUUAGCCGUUAGAAGCUAGCUCGUAAACUUGUGCGAGUUAAUAAGCAGAAGCAAGCAAGCAAGCAAGCAGCCAGCCAGGCCGGCGGAGCUAAGCAAGCUUGAGUGCGAAACCGUGUGUAAAUUAGCGUCUUCAAUUUGUAACCAUUCGCUUGACUUUACGCCGCAGUUCCGAGUGGCUUCGCGGAGACGAGAGCCGGGAUAACGAGAUACUCGCGCAACUGAAACGCAGUGAAACAUCCGGAAAAUUAUAUAUUUUUACGCUAGAGAGAUUGAUAGAGGCAACGGAGAAUCUUUUUGUGAAAAUUGCAUCUAUAUGAGCAUACAUUCAGUAAUUAAGUCCAAGUACAUUAAAUUUUGUAUUAUGAAGUAUACAAAUUAAGCAAGUACUUAACAAUGUCUUCGCGUAACUACAAGAAUUGGAUAUUAUGAAAAUGAAAGGUAGAAUCUGAUAAAUAAAGGCCUCGUUGGAAAAUACGGAUAUGUGCUAAUACCUUUUUGUAGCCGCUAUAUAUUGUUUAGUUUCAGAGCUUUAUUAGAGACUUAGAAUACUUGUUAAACUAUCCAGAGAUAUUGCGUUCAAUAGGUUUAUACCUGCAUAUAAUAUUAAGUCUAAGUACAUAUCGAGUUUGAAUUUAAUCCCUGAGUGGUCAGUAGUCAUUCAUUUUAACGUUUACGUUUUUGUAGAAUGCAUGUUUACUUCUAGUUUUAUUAAAAAUUAUUCUUUACUAUUAUUACUAAGUUUAUUACUGAAUUCUUUUAUGUAAUUGGAACUGUAAUCAACUAUAUUUAAAAAUGAAAACUAUAAUUAUGAUGUCCUUAUUCCUCAGGAAAGUGCAUAGGAAAGUUUGUUUCACCCAAGUAGCAAACGGUGUACAAACUAUUGUGCACGAAUCCUCGCAACAACUGUACAAAAGUCAACAGCCACACUCCAAGAACCCAUAAAACCAAAUCAUCGUGGAAAUCCGUGUAGCAAGUGCACACCACAGUGGAUCACCUUCACGCCAAAGCUAACCUCUUCCUCCUAUAUACCUGUAUCUCAUCUUUCGCUCUAUCUCUCUGUACAUGAUCGAAGAUCGUGGCAGUUGGAAGCAUGCGGAUGUCGGAGAGAAGAAAGGAGAGACAGCUAGCUAGAAUGCAGACGAAGGGAAAGCGGAAAGAGGAGAAGGAGGAACGAGAGGCUGCCGGUUCAGCUGCAUUAAUUAAACUAGCGGAGGACAAUGAGCCUGUCUGCCGGCUCGCUUGCCUCGCUGUGUAAUUCACGCCUCUCACGGGAGAGGCAACCCUUCGACUUUGCUUUCCAGGUUCAACCUUCCUAUGGAUAAUUACCUACGCCCAGAGUCUCGUCUCUCUGUAUCCCACCUUCUCUCGUUUGUCUGUUGUUUUCUUUCGUUUUCACAUCCGCGACUUUUCAGUUCUUUUGCGACACGCGUCGCGCGUGACCGAGCGUGCUAUUGCACCAUGAUGAGCUUGUUGUCUUUGGAUAAGUUGAUUAAUUUGAAUGAAGCGAACUGAAAGCGAUAUCGAGAUAUCUCGAGUUUGGCAACUGUAUCGAUGGAAAUAUUUUGAGGAGGAUUUUCAACAUUGAUGAGAAAGGAUUCGCUAGAAAAUGCGAAAAGGUUAAAUACGUUAUCUUCUUAAAUUUUUAAAUAAAUAUUUCAAUUUGUAUUAUAUCAUAAAUAAUGCAUUUCAAUUGAUGUCAUGUUCAUUAUUUAGUCAUGUACAAAAGUUUAAAGCUAAGCAAAUAAUUGUGAGAAUAAGACAUUGAGAAAUAGAUUAUCUGAGACAAUAACUUUUAUUUAUUGAUUGCAAAUUUGUCCUAUACAUGACAUUUAAAAAAGGUAAUUAAUUAAAUUAACUAGAAGGUACAUAAUAACAGUCGUACAUAGUAAGUAAAAGUCUUGGUAAGGAUGCAUAUUGAC